rnacentral:rRNA from 1 species
GACGAACGCUGGCGGCGUGCCUAAUACAUGCAAGUCGAGCGCAGGAAACCAGAUGACCCCUUCGGGGUGAUUCUGGCGGAAUGAGCGGCGGACGGGUGAGUAACACGUGGGCAACCUGCCUGUAAGACUGGGAUAACUUCGGGAAACCGGAGCUAAUACCGGAUAGUAUUUCCUUUCUCCUGAUUGGAAAUGGAAAGACGGUUUCGGCUGUCACUUACAGAUGGGCCCGCGGUGCAUUAGCUAGUUGGUGGGGUAAUGGCCCACCAAGGCGACGAUGCAUAGCCGACCUGAGAGGGUGAUCGGCCACACUGGGACUGAGACACGGCCCAGACUCCUACGGGAGGCAGCAGUAGGGAAUCCUCCGCAAUGGACGAAAGUCUGACGGAGCAACGCCGCGUGAGCGAUGAAGGCCUUCGGGUCGUAAAGCUCUGUUGUUAGGGAAGAACAAGUACGAGAGUAACUGCUCGUACCUUGACGGUACCUAACCAGAAAGCCCCGGCUAACUACGUGCCAGCCGCCGCGGUAACAC